AGUGAACGCUGGCGGUAGGCCUAACACAUGCAAGUCGAACGGCAGCACAGUAAGAGCUUGCUCUUACGGGUGGCGAGUGGCGGACGGGUGAGGAAUACAUCGGAAUCUACUUUUUCGUGGGGGAUAACGUAGGGAAACUUACGCUAAUACCGCAUACGACCUACGGGUGAAAGCAGGGGAUCUUCGGACCUUGCGCGAUUGAAUGAGCCGAUGUCGGAUUAGCUAGUUGGCGGGGUAAAGGCCCACCAAGGCGACGAUCCGUAGCUGGUCUGAGAGGAUGAUUAGCCACACUGGAACUGAGACACGGUCCAGACUCCUACGGGAGGCAGCAGUGGGGAAUAUUGGACAAUGGGCGCAAACCUGAUCCAGCCAUACCGCGUGGGUGAAGAAGGCCUUCGGGUUGUAAAGCCCUUUUGUUGGGAAAGAAAAGCAGCAGGUUAAUACCCCGCUGUUCUGACGGUACCCAAAGAAUAAGCACCGGCUAACUUCGUG
rnacentral:rRNA from 1 species